AGUGAACGCUGGCGGCGUGGUUUAGGCAUGCAAGUCGAGCGCGAAAGCAUCCUUCGGGGUGCCGGUAGAGCGGCGAAAGGGUGAGUAAUGCAUAGGCAACGUACCCUCGGAACCGGAAUAGCUGCUGGAAACGGCAGGUAAUACCGGGUGGUCAGCGCGGGUGGCAUCACCUGCGUUGUAGACGGUUGGGCAACCUUCUGUCCGGGGAGCGGCCUAUGUCCUAUUAGCUUGUUGGUGAGGUCACGGCUCACCAAGGCGAUGAUGGGUAGCCGGACUGAGAGGUCGGCCGGUCACACUGGGACUGAGACACUGCCCAG
rnacentral:rRNA from 1 species